rnacentral:rRNA from 1 species
CCUACGGGGGGCAGCAGUGGGGAAUAUUGCGCAAUGGGCGAAAGCCUGACGCAGCGACGCCGCGUGAGGGAUGAAGGUCUUCGGAUCGUAAACCUCUGUCAGCAGGGAAGAACGGUCACUGUGCUAAUCAGCAGUGAGUUGACGGUACCUGACCAAGAAGCCCCGGCUAACUACGUGCCAGCAGCCGCGGUAAUACGUAGGGGGCAAGCGUUAUCCGGAUUUACUGGGUGUAAAGGGAGCGUAGACGGCAGCGCAAGUCUGGAGUGAAAUGCCGGGGCCCAACCCCGGAACUGCUUUGGAAACUG